rnacentral:rRNA from 1 species
GUGGGGAAUCUUCCACAAUGGACGAAAGUCUGAUGGAGCAACGCCGCGUGAGUGAAGAAGGGUUUCGGCUCGUAAAGCUCUGUUGUCGGGGACGAAUGUGCAGUAUUUGAAUAAAGUACUGUAAUGACGGUACCUGACGAGGAAGCCACGGCUAACUACGUGCCAGCAGCCGCGGUAAUACGUAGGUGGCAAGCGUUGUCCGGAAUUAUUGGGCGUAAAGGGAGCGCAGGCGGGAAGGUAAGUCGGUCUUAAAAGGGCGUGUCUCAACCCCGUGAUGGGAUCGAAACUAUCUUUCUUGAGUGCAGGAGAGGAAAGUGGAAUUCCUAGUGUAGCGGUGAAAUGCGUAGAUAUUAGGAGGAACACCAGUGGCGAAGGCGACUUUCUGGACUGUAACUGACGCUGAGGCUCGAAAGCCAGGGGAGCGAACGGGAUUAGAAACCCCUGUAGUCC